UACAGAGGGGGCAAGCGUUGUUCGGAAUUACUGGGCGUAAAGGGCGCGUAGGCGGCCUUCUAAGUCGAACGUGAAAUCCCCGGGCUCAACCCGGGAACUGCGUCCGAUACUGGAAGGCUUGAAUCCGGGAGAGGGAUGCGGAAUUCCAGGUGUAGCGGUGAAAUGCGUAGAUAUCUGGAGGAACACCGGUGGCGAAGGCGGCAUCCUGGACCCGGCAUUGACGCUGAGGCGCGAAAGCUAGGGGAGCAACGGG
rnacentral:rRNA from 1 species